rnacentral:sRNA from 20 species
GUCAGCACCCCGUACUGAAGUAACGGGGCUAUGGGCGGAGCGCAGGCUACGCGAAGUCAUGCCUCACUAGAGCGUGAUAGUUGACCAGCCUAAGUGCCUUGUGCACUACGUUUUUUGAGUUAUGACACCCUGUGGAUGCGUAGCUAGUCCCUAGCUCUGUC